AUUGAACGCUGGCGGCGUGCCUUACACAUGCAAGUCGAACGGUAACGCGGGGGCAACCCUGGCGACGAGUGGCGAACGGGUGAGUAAUACAUCGGAACAUAUCCAGUAGCGGGGGGAUAACCUAUCGAAAGAUUGGCUAAUACCGCAUACGAUCUACGGAUGAAAGCAGGGGACCGCAAGGCCUUGCACUAUUGGAGUGGCCGAUGUCAGAUUAGCUAGUUGGUGGGGUAAAAGCCUACCAAGGCGACGAUCUGUAGCUGGUCUGAGAGGACGAUCAGCCACACUGGAACUGAGACACGGUCCAGACUCCUACGGGGAGGCAGCAGUGGGGGAAUUUUGGACAAUGGGGGCAACCCUGAUCCAGCAUCCGCGUGAGUGAA
rnacentral:rRNA from 1 species